UCAGUUACUGGAUAGAAGACCACAAAGAGAAUAUUUGUCAUCGAUUAGGAUGAACAUAUCAAGGAUAAACUCUACAAAGGGGAGAAAAGCAGGAUUUACAACUACCGGUUACUGGGCAGAAUACCGCAGAUGAGAAUAUUCGUCAUCGAUUAGGAUGAACAUGUCAAGGAUAAGCUUAAAGAAGGGGAAGAAAAUAUCUGUCACCGGUUAACAUGAACAUAUCAAGGAUAUACUUCCUGGGGAAACGUGA
rnacentral:lncRNA from 1 species